ACUCAAAUGAAUUGACGGGGGCCCGCACAAGCAGCGGAGCGUGUGGUUUAAUUCGAGGCUACGCGAAGAACCUUACCUGGGUUUGACAUCUGUGUGAACGACCAUGAAAGUGGGAGGUUCCUUCGGGACACAUGGACAGGUGCUGCAUGGCUGUCGUCAGCUCGUGCCGUGAGGUGUUCGGUUAAGUCCGCAAACGAGCGCAACCCUCGGUGCCAGUUAUACGUGUCUGGCGCGACUGCCCGUGGCAAACGGGAGGAAGGUGGGGAUGACGUCAAGUCAGCAUGGCCUUUAUAUCCAGGGCUACACACACGCUACAAUGGCGUUUACAAUGGGUAGCGAGACCGCGAGGUGGAGCCAAUCCUGAAAGAACGCCCCAGUUCGGAUUGUAGGCUGCAACCCGCCUGCAUGAAGUUGGAGUUGCUAGUAACCGCGCGUCAGCAUAGUGCGGUGAAUACGUUCCCGGGCCUUGUACACACCGCCCGU
rnacentral:rRNA from 1 species